rnacentral:rRNA from 1 species
GUGAGGAAUAUUGCGCAAUGGAGGCAACUCUGACGCAGCCAUGCCGCGUGCAGGAAGAAGGCGCUACGCGUUGUAAACUGCUUUUAACCGGGAAGAAACCCCAGGACGUGUCCUGGGUUGACGGUACCGGAGGAAUAAGCACCGGCUAACUUCGUGCCAGCAGCCGCGGUAAUACGAAGGGUGCAAGCGUUAUCCGGAUUCAUUGGGUUUAAAGGGUGCGUAGGCGGAGCGUUAAGUCAGUGGUGAAAUCCUGCAGCUUAACUGUGGACUUGCCAUUGAUACUGGCGCUCUUGAGUGCGCUUGAAGUGGGCGGAAUGUGCCGUGUAGCGGUGAAAUGCUUAGAUAUGGCACAGAACACCAAUUGCGAAGGCAGCUCACUAAGGCGAUACUGACGCUGAGGCACGAAAGCGUGGGGAUCGAACAGGAUUAGAAACCCUUGUAGUCC